CCCUUAGAUGUUCUGGGCUGCACGCGCGCUACACUGAAGCUAUCAACACGUUUUCCCUCCCUUAGAAGGGCGGGUAACCUUUUGAAUCAGCUUCGUGGUAGGGAUCGGGGCUUGCAAUUGUUCCCCGUGAACCAGGAAUUCCUAGUAGACGCGAGUCAUAAGCUCGCAUCGAUUAAGUCCCUGCCCUUUGUACACACCGCCCGUCGCUACUACCGAUUGAACGUUUUAGUGAGGCAUUUGGACCGACGCAUCUCAGUUUAACCGCUGGUUUGUGUUGGAAAGACUUCCAAACUUGAGCGUUUAGAGGAAGUAAAAGUCGUAACA
rnacentral:rRNA from 1 species